rnacentral:rRNA from 1 species
UGAUACAAACCUGUCAGUGGAUGGCUCGGUUCGAGAGCCGAUGAAGGGC